rnacentral:rRNA from 1 species
GACGAACGCUGGCGGCGUGCUUAACACAUGCAAGUCGAACGGAAAGGCCCUGCUUUUGUUGGGUGCUCGAGUGGCGAACGGGUGAGUAACACGUGAGUAACCUGCCCUUGACUUUGGGAUAACUUCAGGAAACUGGGGCUAAUACCGGAUAGGAGCUCUUGCUGCAUGUUGGGGGUUGGUAAGUUUCGGCGGUUGUGGCUGGACUCGAGGGUUAUCAGCUUGUUGGUGGGGUAGUGGCUUACCAAGGGUUUGACGGGUAGCCGGCCUGAGAGGGUGAACGGCCACCAUGGGACUGAGGUACGGCCCAGAAUCCAACGGGAGGCAGCAGUGGGGAAUAUUGCACAAUGGGGGGAAGCCUGAUGUAGCAACGCCCGGUGCGGGAAGAUGGGCUUCGGGUUGUGAACCAAUUUCGCCGGUGACGAAGACGUAUUGACGGUAAUGGGUCAAAAAGCACCGGCUAACUACGUG